UGGGGAAUAUUGCACAAUGGGCGAAAGCCUGAUGCAGCGGCGCCGCGUGAGGGAUGACGGCCUUCGGGUUGUAAACCUCUUUCAGCAGGGAAGAAGCGAAAGUGACGGUACCUGCAGAAGAAGCGCCGGCUAACUACGUGCCAGCAGCCGCGGUAAUACGUAGGGCGCAAGCGUUGUCCGGAAUUAUUGGGCGUAAAGAGCUCGUAGGCGGUUAGUCGCGUCUGCUGUGAAAACUCGAGGCUCAACCUCGGGCUUGCAGUGGGUACGGGCUGACUAGAGUGCGGUAGGGGUGACUGGAAUUCCUGGUGUAGCGGUGGAAUGCGCAGAUAUCAGGAGGAACACCGAUGGCGAAGGCAGGUCACUGGGCCGCAACUGACGCUGAGGAGCGAAAGCAUGGGGAGCGAGCAGGAUUAGAUAGCCCCUGGUAGUCCAUGCCCGUAAACGUUGGGCACUAGGUGUGGGGUCCAUUCCACGGAUUCCGUGCCGCAGC
rnacentral:rRNA from 1 species